UACGAAGGUGGCAAGCGUUGUUCGGAAUCACUGGGCUUAAAGAGCACGUAGGCGGUCUUGUAAGCGUCUUGUGAAAUCCCUCGGCUCAACCGGGGAAUCGCUUGGCGAACUACAAGACUUGAGGCAAGUAGGGGUGCAUGGAACUCUUGGUGGAGCGGUGAAAUGCGUAGAUAUCAAGAGGAACGCCGGAGGCGAAAGCGGUGCACUGGGCUUGCCCUGACGCUGAGGUGCGAAAGCUAGGGGAGCGAAC
rnacentral:rRNA from 1 species